rnacentral:rRNA from 1 species
UGGGGAAUAUUGCACAAUGGAGGGAACUCUGAUGCAGUGACGCCGCGUGAACGAAGAAGGCUUUCGAGUCGUAAAGUUCUUUUAUAUGGGAAGAUAAUGACGGUACCAUAAGAAGAAGCCCCGGCUAACUACGUGCCAGCAGCCGCGGUAAUACGUAGGGGGCUAGCGUUGUCCGGAAUCACUGGGCGUAAAGGGUUCGCAGGCGGAAAUGCAAGUCAGGUGUAAAAGGCAGUAGCUUAACUACUGUAAGCAUUUGAAACUGCAUAUCUUGAGAAGAGUAGAGGUAAGUGGAAUUUUUAGUGUAGCGGUGAAAUGCGUAGAUAUUAAAAAGAAUACCGGUGGCGAAGGCGACUUACUGGGCUCAUUCUGACGCUGAGGAACGAAAGCGUGGGUAGCAAACAGG